AGUGACACCAAUAAAGUAUCUUGCCUUGGACUGGCACUUACACCAUUAAGUGACACCAAUAAAGUAUCUUGCCUUGGACUGGCACUUACACCAUUAAGUGACACCAAUAAAGUAUCUUGCCUUGGACUGGCACUUACACUUACAUCAUUAAGUGACACCAAUAAAGUAUCUUGAUUUGGACUGGCACUUACACCAUUAAGUGACACCAAUAAAGUAUCUUGCCUUGGACGCAAAUUUUGCUGACUACCACUCUGUGCAGCCUCUCAAGUCAUGAUGAAUCCAUCUAUCCCAAUAGACCCAUAUGAAAAAUUAAAAUAUAUUAUUUAGGUUAGCUUUUAAAUCAUUUUGAAAAUAAUUCCAAGAGUAUGGGUCAGUGCACUAUAGAAUAAUAUAAGUUAAAUCAAAUUUUCCCAUUUGUCUAAUUCGAUAAACAUGUUAACGAAAGAAAAAAAAAAGUUUAGAAAGACACGGAACUGAAAAAGUAGUUGCAUAUAAAAAUGUAAAAUAAAUCAUAGUUUCAUAGUCAAGCAAGUGUAUUGUGGUUUCCUGUAGUUACUAUACUGCAACUGUAGUGAAAUGCUUCAUUAUUUGUACAGUGUUCAAGAAAAUACUUGACAUUUCAAUGCAAAAUAAAUUUUUUACUUUAAUUACAAUUUUCUUCAUUCUUGGCUUUAUUUUAUGCUCUUAAUUCUUACCUAUAUUCAACUUGUGAAGAAAAACUUAUUGAAAUGUUGUACCCUACUACUGAAAUGUUGUAUCCUUCUGAAAUAUUGUAUCCUAUUGAAAGGUUUUCAUGUUAAUGAAACUUGUCUCUUUGUUAAACACAUUUCUGAUGUUCCAGGGAUAAAGAUUAUUACAUUCUAAGCCAAACAUCUCACAAAGGUGGGAGAGAGGUGCGGGCAGGGUUCGAACUCCUCAAGACCAGGCUUCUUAAACCUUGCAGUAUUGAGCUUUACAAAUGUAUUAUAUCUGUACUUACAUAUACAUUGAAGGUCAAUUUAGUAUUUGAUUGACACCAAAAUUAUUCUCACAAUUAAAACAAAAACAAUAACAAAAAACACAAAUACUAAAAAAAAAAUGUGAUUUUCCAGUUCAUUUAGGACAAAACAAAUAUUACAUGCAUAUAUUAAAAACAAAACUUGUGCACCUCAAUUUAAGUCUGCUUUGAUAUAUAUAUAUAUAUAUAUACAUUGUAUGGCAAGCUUCAAUUUAAACCACAGCCUUAAAAAAAAAAAAAACUCUAUGUCUAGGACAAUCAGGUACUGGCAUUACUUCAAGUAUACACCUCACAGAAAAUCUUGUGAAUGUACAGGAAAGGUUGUGGCAUCAAUGAGACUGCACACAAAGAAACGCAAUCCACAAUACAGUCAUCCCUCCAAACCACACUCCAUUUUCUAUUCUUCCAUUCUCCUACCACAUUGGCAAUGCAAGAUGCAAGAGUUUUCAUUGUUAAGUAUGUUGAUAUUUGAAACAAUGACAAGAACAUUAAGACAUAGAAACAAUUGCUAUAAUAAUAACUAAAGUUCAAGUGAAUAAAGUUUGAAAGAUGAUUAUAACAGCUUGUUGGCUAGUGAUGUGGUAUGGGCUUUACAACGUCCAAAAGCUAAGGAUCAAAUAACUGAGGUGGUCAAUUGUAGUCAAACUGAAUUUCCAUUUGAUUGGACCAAUAUAAAUUAUCUUAUCAUUUCUAAUGCCAUUUGUAUUCCUUGCGGUUCUGUUUGAGGUUUAGGCUAAACGAGUCUUUUCACAAGGAUUAGUUCUUCUGAAAAAAGAUGUCUCUCAAAUAUUUUAUAUAGUUUUAAAUUACUAUUCUAAACGAGAAUUAUCUUUACAUUUCUUUCUAAAAUUCUCUUCUUGUCCUAUUAAACUUUUUAAACAAAUAUGUAAAAGCACAUUAUCUUUCAAUUAGUUAAGACAUACAAAUGUUUUCUUUUAAGAACUCAAAUGCGUUACAGCCUCAUGAAAGCAGGAAACAUUAAGUAUUCUGAACAGAGAUUACAGCCUAAAUUAAACCCUGUUCAUUAUGCAUUCAUGUCACAAGCCACAAUAACUAGGAAGUUUUUAUUUCAAAUGUAGGCCUAAUGUUUAGUUUACAUUCAUUUCCUGCUUGAUGAGUGUUUUAUUUUAAACAUUGAAAUGGUAACAUAAAGCAUGAUUAAAACAGGUUAUACUCAAAUUGCAAUGGUAAAAAAAUAACACAAUGGAAAUGUAACAGUUGAAGCUACAAGAAAUGCUAUUUGAACUAAAAGUACUUUACUAACAAAAACUUUGAAAGGAUUAUUUAAAACAAUAACACAAUGUAACAACAUUUUUGUUUAUGUUAGUUUUUUAAUGUUUCU